UACGUAGGGGGCAAGCGUUGUCCGGAUUUAUUGGGCGUAAAGAGCGUGUAGGCGGUUUGGUAGGUCCGCUGUGAAAACUCGAGGCUCAACCUCGAGACGCCGGUGGAAACCAUCAGGCUAGAGUCCGGAAGAGGAGAGUGGAAUUCUUGGUGUAGCGGUGAAAUGCGUAGAUAUCAAGAGGAACACCUGCGGCGAAGGCGGGUUGCUGGGCCGACACUGACGCUGAUGCGCGAAAGCUAGGGGAGCGAACGGG
rnacentral:rRNA from 1 species